UGCUCUCGGGUGACGAGCGGCGGACGGGUGAGUAAUGUCUGGGAAACUGCCUGAUGGAGGGGGAUAACUACUGGAAACGGUAGCUAAUACCGCAUAACGUCGCAAGACCAAAGUGGGGGACCUUCGGGCCUCAUGCCAUCAGAUGUGCCCAGAUGGGAUUAGCUAGUAGGUGGGGUAACGGCUCACCUAGGCGACGAUCCCUAGCUGGUCUGAGAGGAUGACCAGCCACACUGGAACUGAGACACGGUCCAGACUCCUACGGGAGGCAGCAGUGGGGAAUAUUGCACAAUGGGCGCAAGCCUGAUGCAGCCAUGCCGCGUGUGUGAAGAAGGCCUUCGGGUUGUAAAGCACUUUCAGCGGGGAGGAAGGCGAUAAGGUUAAUAACCUUGUCGAUUGACGUUACCCGCAGAAGAAGCACCGGCUAACUCCGUGCCAGCAGCCGCGGUAAUACGGAGGGUGCAAGCGUUAAUCGGAAUUACUGGGCGUAAAGCGCACGCAGGCGGUCUGUCAAGUCGGAUGUGAAAUCCCCGGGCUCAACCUGGGAACUGCAUUCGAAACUGGCAGGCUAGAGUCUUGUAGAGGGGGGUAGAAUUCCAGGUGUAGCGGUGAAAUGCGUAGAGAUCUGGAGGAAUACCGGUGGCGAAGGCGGCCCCCUGGACAAAGACUGACGCUCAGGUGCGAAAGCGUGGGGAGCAAACAGGAUUAGAUACCCUGGUAGUCCACGCCGUAAACGAUGUCGAUUUGGAGGUUGUGCCCUUGAGGCGUGGCUUCCGGAGCUAACGCGUUAAAUCGACCGCCUGGGGAGUACGGCCGCAAGGUUAAAACUCAAAUGAAUUGACGGGGGCCCGCACAAGCGGUGGAGCAUGUGGUUUAAUUCGAUGCAACGCGAAGAACCUUACCUGGUCUUGACAUCCACAGAACUUAGCAGAGAUGCUUUGGUGCCUUCGGGAACUGUGAGACAGGUGCUGCAUGGCUGUCGUCAGCUCGUGUUGUGAAAUGUUGGGUUAAGUCCCGCAACGAGCGCAACCCUUAUCCUUUGUUGCCAGCGGUUAGGCCGGGAACUCAAAGGAGACUGCCAGUGAUAAACUGGAGGAAGGUGGGGAUGACGUCAAGUCAUCAUGGCCCUUACGACCAGGGCUACACACGUGCUACAAUGGCAUAUACAAAGAGAAGCGACCUCGCGAGAGCAAGCGGACCUCAUAAAGUAUGUCGUAGUCCGGAUUGGAGUCUGCAACUCGACUCCAUGAAGUCGGAAUCGCUAGUAAUCGUAGAUCAGAAUGCUACGGUGAAUACGUUCCCGGGCCUUGUACACACCGCCCGUCACACCAUGGGAGUGGGUUGCAAAAGAAGUA
rnacentral:rRNA from 1 species